GCGGGAAUAGCUCAGUUGGUAGAGCACGACCUUGCCAAGGUCGGGGUCGCGAGUUCGAGUCUCGAUUUCCCGCUCCA
rnacentral:tRNA from 1 species